rnacentral:rRNA from 1 species
GUUAAGCGACUAAGCGUACACGGUGGAUGCCCUGGCAGUCAGAGGCGAUGAAGGACGUGCUAAUCUGCGAUAAGCGUCGGUAAGGUGAUAUGAACCGUUAUAACCGGCGAUUUCCGAAUGGGGAAACCCAGUGUGUUUCGACACACUAUCAUUAACUGAAUCCAUAGGUUAAUGAGGCGAACCGGGGGAACUGAAACAUCUAAGUACCCCGAGGAAAAGAAAUCAACCGAGAUUCCCCCAGUAGCGGCGAGCGAACGGGGAGCAGCCCAGAGCCUGAAUCAGUGUGUGUGUUAGUGGAAGCGUCUGGAAAGGCGCGCGAUACAGGGUGACAGCCCCGUACACAAAAAUGCACAUGCUGUGAGCUCGAUGAGUAGGGCGGGACACGUGGUAUCCUGUCUGAAUAUGGGGGGACCAUCCUCCAAGGCUAAAUACUCCUGACUGACCGAUAGUGAACCAGUACCGUGAGGGAAAGGCGAAAAGAACCCCGGCGAGGGGAGUGAAAAAGAACCUGAAACCGUGUACGUACAAGCAGUGGGAGCACGCUUCGGCGUGUGACUGCGUACCUUUUGUAUAAUGGGUCAGCGACUUAUAUUCUGUAGCAAGGUUAACCGAAUAGGGGAGCCGAAGGGAAACCGAGUCUUAACUGGGCGUUAAGUUGCAGGGUAUAGACCCGAAACCCGGUGAUCUAGCCAUGGGCAGGUUGAAGGUUGGGUAACACUAACUGGAGGACCGAACCGACUAAUGUUGAAAAAUUAGCGGAUGACUUGUGGCUGGGGGUGAAAGGCCAAUCAAACCGGGAGAUAGCUGGUUCUCCCCGAAAGCUAUUUAGGUAGCGCCUCGUGAAUUCAUCUCCGGGGGUAGAGCACUGUUUCGGCAAGGGGGUCAUCCCGACUUACCAACCCGAUGCAAACUGCGAAUACCGGAGAAUGUUAUCACGGGAGACACACGGCGGGUGCUAACGUCCGUCGUGAAGAGGGAAACAACCCAGACCGCCAGCUAAGGUCCCAAAGUCAUGGUUAAGUGGGAAACGAUGUGGGAAGGCCCAGACAGCCAGGAUGUUGGCUUAGAAGCAGCCAUCAUUUAAAGAAAGCGUAAUAGCUCACUGGUCGAGUCGGCCUGCGCGGAAGAUGUAACGGGGCUAAACCAUGCACCGAAGCUGCGGCAGCGACGCUUAUGCGUUGUUGGGUAGGGGAGCGUUCUGUAAGCCUGUGAAGGUGUGCUGUGAGGCAUGCUGGAGGUAUCAGAAGUGCGAAUGCUGACAUAAGUAACGAUAAAGCGGGUGAAAAGCCCGCUCGCCGGAAGACCAAGGGUUCCUGUCCAACGUUAAUCGGGGCAGGGUGAGUCGACCCCUAAGGCGAGGCCGAAAGGCGUAGUCGAUGGGAAACAGGUUAAUAUUCCUGUACUUGGUGUUACUGCGAAGGGGGGACGGAGAAGGCUAUGUUGGCCGGGCGACGGUUGUCCCGGUUUAAGCGUGUAGGCUGGUUU